rnacentral:rRNA from 1 species
CUACGGGGCGCUCCAGUGAGGAAUUUUGCGCAAUGGGGGGAACCCUGACGCAGCAACGCCGCGUGAGUGAUGAAGGCUUUCGGGUCGUAAAGCUCUGUCAAGUGGGAAGAACCUAUGCAGUGUUAAUAUCACUGUAUACUGACGGUACCACUGAAGGAAGCACCGGCUAACUCCGUGCCAGCAGCCGCGGUAAUACGGGGGGUGCAAGCGUUAUUCGGAAUCAUUGGGCGUAAAGGGCACGUAGGCGGCUUGGUAAGUUAGAUGUGAAAGCCCGGGGCUUAACCCCGGAAGUGCAUUUGAUACUGUCAGGCUUGAGUAUGGGAGAGGGAAGUGGAAUUCCUGGUGUAGAGGUGAAAUUCGUAGAUAUCAGGAGGAACACCGGUGGCGAAGGCGACUUCCUGGACCAAUACUGACGCUGAGGUGCGAAGGCGUGGGUAGCAAACAGGAUUAGAUACCCGCGUAGUC